rnacentral:lncRNA from 1 species
AAGUGCAAGUAAGAAGAGAUGGGAGAAAUUCAGAGGAAAGAGAGGCAAGUUCUGGAACAGGCUUAAGUCGGGUCUGGGAAUGAGUAGUGGCUCCAGUUCUGGCGCAGAUUUUCCAGUAUGCAAGAGGUGUGGCAAACAGCAUAGAGGAGCUUGUCAGUUGGGAUCCACAGCCUGCUAUAGAUGUGGGCAGGAGGGACAUUAUGCACGAGAAUGUCCUCAGGCGACUUUAGUUGCACCAUCCCAGCAGAUGAGUACGGGCAGUGUAGUACAGCCAGUAGCUUCAGCCAUACCACCAAGCAGUGGC